rnacentral:rRNA from 1 species
CCCUUAGAUGUUCUGGGCCGCACGCGCGCUACACUGACGCAUUCAACGAGUCUCCUUGGCCGAGAGGCCUGGGUAAUCUUGUGAACGUGCGUCGUGAUAGGGAUAGAUUAUUGCAAUUAUUAAUCUUGAACGAGGAAUUCCUAGUAAACGCAGAUCAUCAAUCUGCAUUGAUUACGUCCCUGCCCUUUGUACACACCGCCCGUCGCACCUACCGAUUGGAUGGUCCGGUGAGGCCUCGGGAUUGUGGCCGGUGCAUUCAUUUGUGUCGGUUGCGAGAACUUGUCCAAACCUUAUCAUCUAGAGGAAGGUGAANUCGUAACA